UCCCCAAGGUUAAUCAUAGUCUAGUAGUAUUAUUAUUGUAGGGUCGAAUGAUGUUGUUUGAUUUUUUUUCCGGAGAGACCGGUUCUCGUGAAAUCCUGCAUGAUCUCUCCCUCGUUGUUUGUUUUCCUCGGACAAACGCUAAAAGGAGGAUAAUUGUAGGAGUGGUAUUUUCUAAAGACAAAUUUGUAUGUAGUUUCUCCCUGAAUUUUUUGGUCCUGAAUCAAGGAAUUAAUAAGAGAUGCAAACAACAGACCAAGCAAAGCAAGGCCACUCGGUUUGGCUGCCUGGCAUAACAAGUUAGUACUAACAAGCUUGCAUCCCAAUCCCAUUACCGGAAGCAAUCGCUAACAAACUAACCGACGUCCGUUUGGAACGGCCCGGCGAAAUCGCCCAGAAGCAGAAAGGCGGAUUAGGCAGGCAGGCAGGCAGGCAUAAAAGGCAAUUAAGCAAGCAGAAGCGCAAAUACGCCCUCGAAUCCAAACAGCCGCGCCAAUUAAGGGAAGGACUACACCGGACGCUGACCUGCAGUGCUCCGACGCGUUGGCGCGG
rnacentral:lncRNA from 1 species